rnacentral:rRNA from 1 species
CCUACGGGAGGCAGCAGUGGGGAAUCUUCCACAAUGGCCGAAAGCCUGAUGGAGCAACGCCGCGUGGGUGAAGAAGGUCUUCGGAUCGUAAAACCCUGUUGUUAGAGAAGAAAGUGCGUGAGAGUAACUGUUCACGUUUCGACGGUAUCUAACCAGAAAGCCACGGCUAACUACGUGCCCGCAGCCGGGGUAAGACGUAGGUGGCAAGCGUUAUCCGGAUUUAUUUGGCGUAAAGGGAACGCAGGCGGUCUUUUAAGGCUGAUGGGAAAGCCUUCGGCUUAAACGGCGUAGUGAAUGGGAAACUGAGAGCCUUGAGUGAAGAAGAGGAGAGUGGAAUGCGAGGUGUAGCGGUGAAAUGCGUAGAUAU